AGCGAACGCUGGCGGCAGGCUUAACACAUGCAAGUCGAGCGGGCACUUCGGUGUCAGCGGCAGACGGGUGAGUAACACGUGGGAACGUACCCUUUGGUUCGGAAUAACGCUGGGAAACUAGCGCUAAUACCGGAUACGCCCUUUUGGGGAAAGGCUUGCUGCCGAAGGAUCGGCCCGCGUCUGAUUAGCUAGUUGGUGGGGUAAUGGCCUACCAAGGCGACGAUCAGUAGCUGGUCUGAGAGGAUGAUCAGCCACACUGGGACUGAGACACGGCCCAGACUCCUACGGGAGGCAGCAGUGGGGAAUAUUGGACAAUGGGCGCAAGCCUGAUCCAGCCAUGCCGCGUGAGUGAUGAAGGCCUUAGGGUAGUAAAGCUCUUUUGUCCGGGACGAUAAUGACGGUACCGGAAGAAUAAGCCCCGGCUAACUUCGUG
rnacentral:rRNA from 1 species